CCGCCGGUGUUGCUGUGAGAAGUUCAUUAAACCUUAUCAUUUAGAGGAAGGAGAAGUCGUAACAAGGUUUCCGUAGGUGAACCUGCGGAAGGAUCAUUGAACACACGAUCUCGGAAAAACCCCGCGAACUGUUGCUCGUCUCACGAGGGAUCGUGCCUGGAGGCACGAUCGUCGGUGUCGGAGUCUGGAUUCAUGCGCGUCCGCCGUGAUCCUCCCGCUGGUGCGUGGCGGGAACGAUUGACUCUGCUUACACCGUCGGAAGGCCCCCGACACGCGUGAUCUCGGGGUCCCGCGGGACUCCGAGUCGGGAGCACGUCCCCUCCUCCGAAGAUAGGGAACUCGAGGAGAAUUUUCACCCCAUCCUCGCUCCGGCGGAACAGGACCGGGUUUCUCCUGGACACGCCUCUUUUUCGGUGCCCUCUUUUUUCCCAAGGAACCUGGUGAAAAACAAACGUUGAUGGACUGAGCGGGACGAGGGACGGUCACGGCGGGACCCUGCCGUGCGGUCCCGAGUCCCCAGGAAAAACAAACUUACGCAAUGACUCUCAGCAACGGAUAUCUUGGCUCUUGCAACGAUGAAGAACGCAGCGAAAUGCGAUACCUAGUGUGAAUUGCAGAAUUCCGCGAAUCAUCGAGUUUUUGAACGCAAGUUGCGCCCGAGGCUCGUUCCUAGGGCAUGCCUGCCUGAGCGUCCGCUCCGACCCACCCACCAAUGAAUCUUCCUCCUCUUCCGGGAGGGAGGAGAUCACACACAGUGCGAGUGGAACUGGUCGUCCGGGAACCCGUCCGCCAGACAAUGGCGGUCGAAGGAUUCGCGGUUGGCUGAAAACGAGAGGGCCGUCCGUCAAGACCGUGCUUGGGGUUGGAGGCGCGUCGCGAGAAGGUGCCGUCCUCUCCUGGAUUGGAGAUGGACGUCCGUAACAAAGCGUCGUGCCCGGCCUGCGGAGUCGGGACUUGGCGGAUCGGCGAGACUGUGUAUAUUAUUUACACGCAUGGGAGCGGGAAGGCUUAUUGCAUUCUUCCACGGGUCUUCUUCGAGAGAAAGGGGGCGCGUGGGGGAUGCGAGUCGGAACGCGACGUUGUUCGGACCUCAGAUCAGACAAGACCACCCGCUGAGUUUAAGCAUAUCACUAAGCGGAGGAAAAGAAACUAACAAGG
rnacentral:rRNA from 1 species